UCUUAUCUUCCUGUUUGUGCCCCUUUCUAUGUCUGUUUCUUGUGUGCAAGCGCUCCAUUCUGUGUGUGUGACUGUCUGACUUUUUUGCGUGUGUUGCUUGACAAUGUGUGUGUGUGUGGCUUGACUGUGUGUGACUUGAGGGUGAAUAUGUGUGUGGCUUGACUGUGUGUGUGUGCUUGACUCUCUGUGUGUGACUCUGUGUGUGUGUGUGUGUGUUUGACUGUGUGAGUAUUGCAUUUGCCUGAUGGUGUGGUUUGUAUGCUUUUUUGAAUGAUUGGUUGUGUAUAACAUGUGUUUUAUAUUGUUGCGGCCUAACACUGCCUUUGCCGGUCCCAAGCUCGGGUGUGAAAAUGUGGAGGGAGCUGCAGUUACCUUCUUUGUAUUGUUUGCAUUACGAGUGUCGAUAGAAAUUACACAGUUUAGGUUACUGUCCUAAUCGAAUAGUGAAUCUUCACAUAAUUUGGUAGCAAGUGAUUCAAGCUUUAAAAUGCAUCCUUCCUUGCUAGUUGUACGAGGUCAGUGUUUUUCUUAUACGAUACCAAAGGAAAGCGAGUAGCUAAGAAUUUAGGCCUAUAAGGGUUUGAUAUAUUUUUUUUACUUCUGUGCAUGAUUUUUUAGGUGGAGAGGUCUGCACGUACAAGACGUUUUGGAUGUUUUGGAGUCCACCGCUUUGACUGUCUCCUGAUGCUCUGACUAUUUCCAUCUUAGGUGACGUGUGCUUUCUGUUUUUGAUUGUGUCUCCUUGUUUGCCACAUAUCAGUUUUGUAUGUCGGAUUGUUUGGGCCGAUUUUUCUGGGCUCUUCUCAUGGUACGAGUGGUCCUUUCUUUUUUCUUCUACUGCCUAUAAAUAAGCUAUUCUGGAGGCCUUAUUUCUCGGUUUCUAGAUUCUUUGCUUUGGGUUCGUGAUAAGGGUUCUUGCAGUUUCGUGUGCUGAUCGGCUGCCUUCUUCAGUUCGUGCUUCUGGUCGAUCUGUUCCAAGUCGCUCCGAAUAUAUUCCUGGUGCUACUUCUGGCGGUGGAUCUUCUAGUCGAUCUGUUCUAAGUGCCGCUCAAUAUCCUGUUUUGGAUCCUAAUGAAGCGCACCGGUGUCGGCAUGAGAUUCGAUGCGGGAAGCAUCCUAUUUAUUUAUACAACCACGGUCCAUUGGCUGGAGUCGAGGAAAUUCUCAAGCAUAAAACGACAUCUUCUUACUCAACAUAAUUUUAAAGAAACAGGAUGAAGUCGAAGCGGCACGGAUGGCAGCAAUCAACAAGGAAAUUAAACGUGUGUUGACAGAAGUUCUUUUGAAGGUUUCUGAUGAUCUUUUUAAUGAGAUCACGGCCAAAGUUAUGAAUGAAGAUGAUUCAUCAGCUGAACCAAAUGAGACCACUGGUGUCUCUAGCUCAAAGGAGCUUGGUCUAGGAGAAUCAGAAGUCAAGACCACAACUGUAUUGGUCGUUCUGAUGAUACUGGGCUAAGUUCUCCUAAAGGUGCUUUCUUGGUCAUGCUAAUUAUGAUUCAGAUGAUGAUGAUGGUAAGGGUUUAAUUCCAAAUUUAUCAUCUGAAAUUAAAGUUGGUGCAGCUCAUCCUAAAGAAAGUAAGUUCUUGAAAAACACAAAGUGGACAUGGUUUCCCAAAAUUUAUUUUCUAAAGAAGGAAGAGCUAAUUAUUAACUUUCUGAGUUUACUUCGGUCUUGCAUGUACUAGCUUUCUGUUUUUGCCCCUAUCUAUGUCUGUUUCUUUCCAUUUCUUGUGUGCACGUGCUCCAUUGUGUUUGUGUGUGUCUGACUGUGUGUGUGAUGUGCCCCUAACUCUGUUUCUGUCUGUUUCUUGUGUUCAAGUGCUACAUUGUGUGUGUGAUGUGCCCCUAUCUAUGCAUGUUUCUUGGGUGCAAGCGCUUGAUUGAGUGUGUGCUUGUGACUGUGUGUAUUGCAUUUGCUUGAUGG